rfam:Hordeum vulgare subsp. vulgare, WGS project CAJW01000000 data, contig: morex_contig_1563718
CACAUACUCCCUCCGUCCGGAAAUACUUGUCCUAAAAAUGGAUGUAAUGAAUUUAUCUAUAACUAAAAUAAAUCAAGAUACAUCCAUCUUUAGGACAAGUAUUUUUGGACGGAGGGAGUAGUAU